rnacentral:rRNA from 1 species
CCUACGGGUGGCAGCAGUGGGGAAUAUUGGACAAUGGGGGAAACCCUGAUCCAGCGACGCCGCGUGAGUGAAGAAGUACUUCGGUACGUAAAGCCCUAUCAGCAGGAAAGAAAAUGACGGUACCUGACUAAGAAGCCCUGGCUAACUACGUGCCAGCAGCCGCGGUAAUACGUAGGGGGCAAGCGUUAUCCGGAUUUACUGGGUGUAAAGGGAGCGGAGACGGCAGCGCAAGGCUGGAGUGAAAUGCCGGGGUCCAACCCCGGAACUGCACUGGAAACUGGGAGGCUGGAGUGCAGGAGAGGGGAGCGGAAUUCCUGGUGUAGAGGUGAAAUGCGUAGAUAUCAGGAGGAACACCGGCGGCGAAGGCGGCUUACUGGACUGUAACUGACGUUGAGGCUCGAAGGCGUGGGGAGCAAACAGGAUUAGAUACCCGAGUAGUC